ACCAAUCUCUUGCUCCGGUAUGUACUAUCCGGUUGGGCCUUACCUCCUGGUGAGCCCGUAUGUCGUUUACUCGGUGUGCGGGGGAACCAGGAAUUUUACUUUGAAAAAAUUAGAGUGUUCAAAGCAGGCAUAUGCCCGAAUACAUUAGCAUGGAAUAAUAGAAUAGGACGUGCGGUUCUAUUUUGUUGGUUUCUAGGAUCGCCGUAAUGAUUAAUAGGGAUAGUUGGGAGAGUUAGACCACCCCGUCUGGCCCGAAAUUCAACUACGAGCUAAUUUA
rnacentral:rRNA from 1 species